GACAGAGGGUGCAAACGUUGCUCGGAAUUACUGGGCGUAAAGCGCGUGUAGGCGGUUCCGCAAGUCAGGUGUGAAAGCCCAGGGCUCAACCCUGGAAGUGCACAUGAUACUACGGAGCUUGAGUACUGAAGAGGAGAGCGGAAUUCCCGGUGUAGUGGUGAAAUGCGUAGAGAUCGGGAGGAACACCUGUGGCGAAGGCGGCCGACUGGGCCGACCCUGACGCUGAGGCGCGAAGGCGUGGGGAGCGAACGGG
rnacentral:rRNA from 1 species